rnacentral:rRNA from 1 species
UACGUAGGGUGCGAGCGUUGUCCGGAAUUAUUGGGCGUAAAGAGCGCGUAGGCGGUCCGAUAAGUCGGCUGUGAAAGUCAUGGGCUCAACCCAUGAAGGCCGGCCGAUACUGUCGGACUAGAGUCCGGAAGAGGCGAGUGGAAUUCCCGGUGUAGCGGUGAAAUGCGCAGAUAUCGGGAGGAACACCAAUGGCGAAGGCAGCUCGCUGGGACGGUACUGACGCUGAGGCGCGAAAGCGUGGGGAGCAAACAGG